CCUACGGGAGGCUGCAGUGAGGAAUAUUGGUCAAUGGACGAGAGUCUGAACCAGCCAAGUAGCGUGAAGGAUGACUGCCCUAUGGGUUGUAAACUUCUUUUAUAAAGGAAUAAAACGAGGCACGUGUGCCUUUUUGCAUGUACUUUAUGAAUAAGGAUCGGCUAACUCCGUGCCAGCACCCUAGGUAAUACGGAGGAUCCGAGCGUUAUCCGGAUUUAUUGGUUUUAAAGGGAGCGUAGAUGGGUUGUUAAGUCAUAUGUGAAAGUUUGCGGCUCAACCGUAAAAUUGCAAUUGAUACUGGCAGUCUUGAGUACAGUUGAGGUAGGCGGAAUUCGAGGUGUAGCGGUGAGAUGCGUAGAUAUCACGAAGAACACCGAUUGCGAAGGCAGCUUACUAAACUGUGACUGACAUUGAUGCUCGAAAGUGUGGGUAUCAAACAGGAUUAGAUACCCGGGUAGUC
rnacentral:rRNA from 1 species